UACUUUGUAAACUUGUACUCUAAUUAAUGUUAAGCUAAGAUUAAUAGAUAAACUUGAAUUCUAGGGUGAAAUCGGGAAUAAUUAUGUUUUUUGUCUUAGUUUUUAAAAUUUGGUGAACAAACCAGACUAGUACCUGGUUAGACUAAAAUUAAAAGAGCAGGAGUAAAGUGGUAUUUAAACUGUAAGAAUAUUGGCAGGUUUUUAAAUUAUCUUUGGAGGUUGAGUAGUAAUUGAGAACCCUCAUUAACAACUUUUAUUCUUUGGCGCAUGUAUGAUCGUUUAUUUUAUUCUUAGGGAUUGUAAUAUUAGUUUCAUUACUGUAAAAAUAGAUAAAUAUUUGGUAAAUAUAGAAGAUUCAAUUUGACCUACAAUAAAAAAAUUUGUGAAUUUUAAGUGUAGUUCUUAAAUGAAAAUGUAAAAGACAGUAAAUUUCUUUUUAUAGGAAGUUGAAGUUUAUUUAAAAAC
rnacentral:rRNA from 1 species